rnacentral:rRNA from 1 species
CAAGUCGCACGAGAAAGUGGAGCAAUCCAUGAGUACAGUGGCGUACGGGUGAGUAACACGUGGAUAAUCUACCUCCUAGUGGGGAAUAACCCUGGGAAACCGGGGCUAAUACCGCAUGAUCUCGCGAGAGGAAAGCCGAAAGGCGCUGGGAGAGGAGUCCGCGGCCGAUUAGCUAGUUGGUGAGGUAACGGCUCACCAAGGCGAAGAUCGGUAGCCGGCCUGAGAGGGCACACGGCCACACUGGCACUGAAACACGGGCCAGACUCCUACGGGAGGCAGCAGUGGGGAAUCUUGCACAAUGGGGGAAACCCUGAUGCAGCGACGCCGCGUGAGCGAUGAAGCCCUUCGGGGCGUAAAGCUCUUUCGACAGGAACGAUAAUGACGGUACCUGGAGAAGAAGCUGCGGCUAACUACGUGCCAGCAGCCGCGGUAAUACGUAGGCAGCAAGCGUUGUUCGGAGUUACUGGGCGUAAAGAGUGCGUAGGCGGUCUGGCAAGUUCGGUGUGAAAUCUCCCGGCUUAACUGGGAGGGUGCGCCGAAGACUGUUGGGCUGGAGUAUGGGAGAGGC